rnacentral:rRNA from 1 species
UACGUAGGGCGCAAGCGUUAUCCGGAAUUAUUGGGCGUAAAGAGCUCGUAGGCGGUUUGUCGCGUCUGCCGUGAAAGUCCGGGGGCUCAACUCCGGAUCUGCGGUGGGUACGGGCAGACUAGAGUGAUGUAGGGGGAGACUGGAAUUCCUGGUGUAGCGGUGAAAUGCGCAGAUAUCAGGAGGAACACCGAUGGCGAAGGCAGGUCUCUGGGCAUUACCUGACGCUGAGGAGCGAAAGCAUGGGGGAGCGAACAGG